rnacentral:ncRNA from 1 species
GUACGCCAACGGCACACCCGCGCGAAAGCCGGGGUCGCAAAGCUACGGGUCCUCCGGCAUUCCCCCUGCCGCGGACAGCCGGGUUCCCGAU